GUCCACGCCGUAAACGAUGGAUACUAGCUGUUGGGAGCGAUCUCAGUGGCUAAGCGAAAGUGAUAAGUAUCCCACCUGGGGAGUACGUUCGCAAGAAUGAAACUCAAAGGAAUUGACGGGGGCCCGCACAAGCGGUGGAGCAUGUGGUUUAAUUCGAUGAUAACGCGAAGGAACCUUACCAAAGGCUUAAAAUGUAGUUUGACCGAUUUGGAAACAGAUUUUCGCAAGACAAAUUACAAGGUGCUGCAUGGUUGUCGU
rnacentral:rRNA from 1 species